GAUGAACGCUGGCGGCGUGCCUAAUACAUGCCAGUCGAGCGAAGCGGGGACGGGUGAGUAACACGUGGAUAACCUCCUAUAAGACUGGGAUAACUUCGGGCAACCGGAGCUAAACCGGAUACUUAUCGAUGGAUCCGCGCUGCAUUAGCUAGUUGGUAAGGUAACGGCUUACCAAGGCAACGAUGCAUAGCCGACCUGAGAGGGUGAGCGGAGAGACUGGAACUGAGACACGGGCCAGACUCCGACGGGAGGCAGCAGGGGGGAAGCUUCCGCAAUGGGCGAAAGCCUGACGGAGCAACGCCGCGUGAGUGAUGAAGGUCUGCGGAUAGUAAAACUCUGUUAUUAGGGAAGCGGUACCUAAUCAGAAAGCCACGGCUAACUACGUGCCAGCAGCCGCGGUAAUUC
rnacentral:rRNA from 1 species